CUUGAUCAUAAAUGAACAAUUGUCCAGACAGAGGCUUGAGUUUACGAAUUGACGGUUUAUUACACCAACUUUACACAGGCUACUGUUUGGGCCGUAGCACACGCCGAAUAGAUGACAGAUAACCCACAAGCCAAUCGUGACCUUCUCUUGUGAAGCCCAGACGUAAGAGAGAGAGAACAAAGGCUGAACCUGGUCUUAACUUCCAAUGCUCCACCCCCCUCCACGCCACUCCGCCAACCACCAGGAUGCCCGGCAUCAGAACAUUCCAGGCAUUCCCGUGAUUGGCAGAUAGCAGGUUGAUUGACAUGUCGGACCCCGCGAACACCGGGUACUGGUCAGUACAACACAACCACCUCCUAGCCUAACACAUAACACACAGCUAGCUAGCUGUCUGUGCGGGUCGCUACAAUAUUAUUAAGUAGGCUGUUGGUCUUUUGAGGUCCGUUAUGUCAAUUUGUGGUCCUUCUGUAGCUCAGUUGGUAGAGCAUGGCGCUUGUAACGCCAGGGUAGUGGGUUCGAUCCCCGGGACCACCCAUACGUAGAAUGUAUGCACACAUGACUGUAAGUCGCUUUGGAUAAAAGCGUCUGCUAAAUGGCAUAUAUUAUUAUAUUAUUUGCCUUUAUACAUCUCAUUGACCUACUGUCAACUCCCUCAGUUGUAAACAUCUACAAUAAUCAUUAGACGUACGCGUCAGAGUUAUCAUACCCCGUGUCGGGGUUUGUACAGAGUUGGUUAAAUCCGCUCUUUUGCUCCCCACUUACAUGGCUAAUAAUCUCCAAGCUGCUCUAAGUGGUGUUGUUUGAGUGAAUAUUGUUUUCCAUAAAGUUAAUAACCCCUAAACCGAUAUAUGAAAUUACCUCUGCCCCUAUCUAUAAAGCGUGAGAUACAUUUUUAAAACCAGUUAUUUAAUUCAAAAGAUUUAGUACCUACAUUUUAACACAUUCCAAAAUGUUUACUAUUUCUUACAGAUAAAGGGUCCUGUUAGCCCCCGACCUGUAACUGACAGUUAGACUUACAGGUUAUGUCGUUGUCUUUUGUUUGAAUUGUUUAUGUGUCCGCUGUGCGGGGGAAAUGAUAAUACAAGCGGAACUAUGUAGCUAAUACUGUUGUAACGGGGAUCCUUAUUGUAGCAACACACUUUUGGAGGGAAGGCAAUCCUGCGCUGCGUUAGCUAAGUUUUCAUGUCAUCGGGUGUAGUUCAUAAAGGUUGAAGCGUGUAUGUUAGGAUGAAGUGUGAAUUCAUGCCAGGAAUAAUAAGUGUGAAGUUUGAUUUCCUCCCUUCUGGAAUAAGCAGUGUUGAUAAUGGGAUAUGAUAAAGGGUGAGUCGGUCAAGGAUCGAUGCAGACAAGGUGGUAGAUUGUACGACAAGCGACAGGUUUAUUCAGAGUGAAGAUAUCUGGUACAGCGUAUAUACGGGCCCCUCUGUUAGCUCAUCAGAGACUAGCAGAAAGGAGCCUUGCUAACAUUCUCACGGAAGGGGAUAAUUCUCACUGAAACUACAGAAUAAAGCCGCCAGUUAAAAUCAAGGAACGGUUGUGCUCGUGGUUACUGAAGGGAGCUACAAGACCCUUAUCCGUUUCGAAUUCACCAACUCAAAGACGCUUGCCCGCUCCAUCAUAACUCCGUAAGUUUUCCCUCCCUGUCUAGAUCAAACGUCCUGCCUGUAAAUCCUGGGUAUGCCCACAUCAUUAAUGAAUAAGAUGUGUAGAAAACUGUUUAGCCAUAGUUAAAGGCCUUUCAUAAAGAGGCUGUCAUGAUUGCAUGUGCCUCAUGUUUAACACGUAUUGCUUGUUACAGAAUACUACUGUUGUACAUCUAAUAUCCCCUAGCAGAUUUCGUUGCCUUUGCACAAAUUCUGUCAUGUUACUGUGGUCUUUUAAAAGUCAAUAAAUAUGUGUGGAAAGUGUACAUGUUUGUUUCACUGUAGAUCUGUUUAAGACCUCCUAGAAACACCUAAUUUCAUCCCACAGCAUUAAUUAAUAAACUGUGUAGAAGCUGUUUAGCCAUAAGUAAAGGCCUUUCAUAAAGCGGCUGUCAUGAUAAACCUGAAUCUGAAAGUACCUUUAGGAUCUUUUCUUUGGGGUUCUAAUCUCCCCAGGUGUACAUGCACUGAACAUCCAUAGGCUGGAGCCAUCUGGAAGCUCUGUGCCUGUACAUAUAAAGAUAACUAAAUAGGAAACUAGGCUGAGAAACAUUAGUUAGAUGGCUGUUUAAUUGUUGUUCAAAGCUUGAAAUGGACACAAUGCCAAGGGACCUUGUUUCUAACAGAUACACACACACACACACACACACACACACACACACACACACACACACACACACACACACACACACACACACACACACAUACACACACACACAACACACACACACACACACAUAUUCAGGUCUUAAAGAUGGCUUGUUCUGGACAUUUAUAAUGCCUAUGCCCCAGAUCCAUAACCCAGGACAUUCCUGCUUCAUAGAUAACAACCAUAAGGGAGAUAAAACUGGGGGUGGGGGGCAUACCCUGUCCCAAAAGUUCAAACACUCAAACACCACCCUCCCCAGUUCAACCAGCCCCCUAGACAUCAAACAACAGGCCUACUUCAAAGCAUAACAUAAAGCUAUAAAAUAACACACACCCUCUAACAGGGGAGGGGGGCGGGCCGGAGGCCCAUAUUCAGACAUGUACACGUCAUCAGGACAUAAGGUCAGCAAUCAAUCAUUUUGACACAUGCCGUAUCCUCUAUCUCUCUCACACUGUGUACACCUAUAGGAUUUGAUCUUUUGCUUAACCACACCCCCAUUAUUCCCCAUAAAUAGAGGAGCAUCCCUCAGUCUCAGCAUCAUUAGGGUCAACGGACCCCAAAGAGCCUUAAACUGGACAAAGACUCAAGAUGGAACUCUACAAGGACAACCUCUUCCUCAACGGAUCUACUGGGCUCUAGCUAUAUGCUUACCCCUAAAAGACACCUCACCGGGAUCAGGACUUCAAGCUGGGGCUUCACACACCCCUUGGGCUCCAGCUACAUGCUACUACCUCAAAGACAUCUCACCAGGAUCUAGACAUCAAGCAGGGGCUUCACACACACACACACACACCCCUUGUACUCUAGCUAUAUGCUACUCCCUAAAAGACACUUCGCCGGGAUCCAGACAUUAAGUUGGGGCUUCAUACCCCCUGGGCUCCAGCUAUAGCUACUCCCUAAAAACACCUCACCGGGAUCAAGACACCAGCUGGUACCCUGCCCCCCCCACCACACACCUCUCAUCCCCGACCCAUUCUCCUCCCGGAGGAAAAAGCCUACAUCUUUAUGGUACACCGUGAAUCCGGAUUACUUCAAGCUGUACCCUAACCCCUACUAUUCCCUCCCUACAUAUAGAUACUCCCACAACGGACCUUCAUAGACCUUCCAGACCAUCGAGCCUCAACCACACAUACACCCACACACACAUCCUAAUUUUUCCGGUCCAUAAUACAGCUUUUUACCACAUUAUGACCGAGUGCGCUUUUUUGCACCUUUUUUCUCCUCCCUGCUACCUGAUGAAGCCGAGUAAGGCAGAAACGCGUCGUGGAAGGCAGAUUCCACACAGACUUCGGGGUACCUCCUCUUGGCUACCUAUUGUCAUUUGUACUUUUUUCUUACCCUUACUUUCAGUUGUACACAGGGACACACACGGAAGAUCUACAGGACAGCGAUGACCCUGGGCACUCUGAUGGCUACUCAGACCCCCUACUUCACCACAAUACAAGCCCAAACAAUUUCGACGGGGCAUAGUUAUCUACAUAGACCCUCUACACAUUUUGAAAGAGACGCACAGAGGGUCCGGCCGAAAAAGAGUUUAAACCGGCAACCUUGUCUCAUCAUAGGAUCGUCGCAUUCACCUUACAUAAGACUCUCUGUUUUUCAGGCUUCAUCGAAUGGCACAACAGGCUCCUACCUACUCCGACCACACAGGACAACCCGGUCUCACCAACCCAAGAUCAACUAAGAACCAAAGACAAAGAAACCCCUCAAAGAAAACAGCUUACCCCCACCAUACCAGGGGACCCAGAGACCUGGUCAUACCCUCAUAAGGUUGACAUAGGAACGGGCUCCUUUUGGACAACGCAAAGCCUCCUAAACUUCCCCACAUCAUACCCUUACCAGGGUGAUUGAGGGAACGUAACAGAGGCAGAGUGUUAAGGUGGCCUCUGAUUUUUUAUCUCCAUCCCAUACCCAGACCUGGGUGGGAUGGAAUGAAAACCAGCAGGAACAGGUUACAACUCCACAACCAUCUAUCUCCACAUACUCUUCCCAGCCAACACCACCUAACAUAGGAUUGCUGAACAGGACCACUGGAUGAAUCCCCUCAGCUGGCAACUAUACCCACAGCUAAUCCCACCCCAUGGGUUUCCGGGACCCCUAGACACCAAACCUCUCAAAUCAUUUUAAAGAAGACAUGCACAGAGGGGCCAGCAGAAAAAGUUUUGACCGGUAGCCUAGUCUCAUCAUAGGAACGCCGACUUCACCUCACACAGAGUCCCCUUUUUUAGGCUUCUACGAAUGGCAUAAUAGGCCCCCACCCACUCCGACCACAUAGGACAACCCGAGCUCACCAACCCAAGACCUACUAGAACCAAAGACAAGAAAACCCCCCAAGAAAGCAGCCCACCCCAACCAUACCAGGGGAGCCAGAGACCCGGUCAUACCCUCACAAAGUUGACAUAGGAACGGACUCCUUUUGGGAAACGCAAACCCUCCUAACCUUCCCUCACCUGACCAGGGUGAUUGACGGAACGGAGCAGAGGCAGAGUGUUGAAGUGACCUCUGAACUUUCCUUCCCGUCCCAUACCCUGUUCAGGGUGGUAUGGAGUGAAAAUCAGUAAGAACAGGUUAAUUAGGCAACCCCCAUAAACUGUAAGUCAGUCAUUUUUCCCAACAGAUGUCAAAGAAAAGCUCUCUCACACACACACAGCAAGAAUGGUGUGAAAAGGUGCAGUGCUGAAAGACACAGAGAGCAGUUAAUGGCAUAAACACAAACUCUAGGCCUUUCAACAAGAUCUCCCGCUUGACCGUAGCUCGCUCGGUCUGACCACAGUGACCAUGCAAAAAGUAGUCUCAUGUAGCAGGCUUUGUCUGCGUAAAAGUAAUCUCAUGUAGCUCACUCGGUCACCGGUCCGCAGGGACCAUGCAAAAAAGUAGUGUCAUGUAGCUCACUCAGACCGGUCUGACCACAGGACCGUGCAAAAAAGUAAUCUCAUGUAGCUCACUUGGUCUGAUCAUAGGGGCCAUUUAAAAUGCAUUAUGGAGUGGGAUUAUGAAGCUGCAUUAUGGAGUGGGAUUAUGAAACUGCCUUUUUUAUUUUCAUGUUCACAGAAACAUUGGAAGAAACAAGGACACAGAGUAAUCAGUACCGGUUUUAUGGGUACCUGUGUGCCUACUUUACAUCCAUAUAUGGCCACAGACCAGGCCUAUAUAAAAACGUGUUGGUAAAAGAGGUGGAGGAGGCAAAAUGUGACCAGUCUGGGGUGUAUCUGAUCAAUGUAAGUCUAUGAAAUACAGCUGGCUGUGUUUAUUUGUUCGUUUGCUUGGUUAUCUUUGAAAACAAUUGCAGUCGCAAGGGGUACUACACUCAAUAUGGAAUUUGUUCCAUUCGUGGCCCAUUCUGCCAAUAUUCAUAAAUGAUUUCAUCUCAUUGCAUGAUGUUGGGACAAAGCCAAUCUCCGCUCUCUGCUCUCUUUAAAGGUUGUUUGAUGGAGUGUGAGACAUUCAGCCAUCUGUUUAUCCGGGUUGCAGGGUUGGGGUGAACAAGUUUACGCUCUCUGUGAGUCCCAAAUGGCACCCUAUUCCCUAUAUAGUGCACUACUUUUGGUUCACUAUGUAGGGAAUAGUGUGCCUAUUUGAGACUCAGCCUCUGUUUGGCUCCUGGGGUCCUGGACAUGUAUCCAACACGACGCCAGAUGGUUACUCUUCGGAACAUGAUGCCCGCAGCAGCUUUGUUCAAUCAGAGAGAGGCAGAGAGUCAGCGCACACACACACACACACACACACACACACACACACACACACACACACACACACACACACACACACACACACACACACACACACACACACAGAGAGGAGAGUGUCUUUUCAGGAGCAAGUGUCAAUGCAGAACGCUCCAGGCCUUCUGAGAAUAUGUUCUUUAUGUUACGAUAUGGCAACAUUAUCAGAUGUGCAGAGAUGGUGGGCAGGAUUAUGUUGUCAUAAUUUUUGGAUCGCUUGGUGAUAAAAAAAAUAUAUAU